rnacentral:tRNA from 1 species
UGGGGUGUAGCUCAGUUGCAGAGCACUUAGCUGGUACCUGCAAGGCCCUGGGUUCCAUACCCAGCACCACAA